rnacentral:rRNA from 1 species
AUUGAACGCUGGCGGCAUGCCUUACACAUGCAAGUCGAACGGUAACAGGUCUUUCGGGAUGCUGACGAGUGGCGAACGGGUGAGUAAUACAUCGGAACGUGCCUAGUAGUGGGGGAUAACUACUCGAAAGAGUGGCUAAUACCGCAUGAGAUCUAUGGAUGAAAGCAGGGGACCUUCGGGCCUUGUGCUACUAGAGCGGCCGAUGGCAGAUUAGGUAGUUGGUGAGAUAAAAGCUUACCAAGCCUACGAUCUGUAGCUGGUCUGAGAGGACGAUCAGCCAAACUGGGACUGAGACACGGCCCAGACUCCUACGGGAGGCAGCAGUGGGGAAUUUUGGACAAUGGGCGCAAGCCUGAUCCAGCAAUGCCGCGUGCAGGAUGAAGGCCUUCGGGUUGUAAACUGCUUUUGUACGGAACGAAAAGUCUUGGGUUAAUACCCUGGGAUCAUGACGGUACCGUAAGAAUAAGCACCGGCUAACUACGUGCCAGCAGCCGCCGUAA